AAUACAACACAAUAUGAAAAUGCGCGCCUAAAAAAAAUAAGUUUCCCUUGUUCUUGAGCUUGUUAGUAAUGUUUAUAGGAAACAGGUGGCUGAUGACGUCAACAGGUUGUAACCCUUUUUUUUUCCCUUUAUUUUCUAAGACAAGUUUUGAGGCGAAGUAUCCUAUAAUUGGACUGAUGUAUGUGGCCUAUAAUGUAGAGCUGGACACAAGCGCAGUGCCAAAAGCACAUAUCAACACAGUGCCUCACUAUCAAGCCUCAGACGACGACCUAUAAAGAGGACGUAUACAGCUUAGACCACCACUUCAGUCAAGGCUUGGACAUUAAGGUCAAGUCGACAUUAAUUUUCCAUGGAGACUUAGGAGAAGCUAGCAGACAUGUUGGCACGUGCUAGAAUGGCCUUCCAGUUGUUCAAGACCAGGCUGAACUAAUUAUGUCAAUAAAUCAGGUCGGUCAAAAGAUUAUACGGGACACUAUGGGAGCAAGGCCAACGUACGGAAACUUGUCUGGAUGAGAGAUCACAGGAGAGCUGGAAAGAUACUUCUUGGAUUCAAAGCCACUCGCUCGUAGAUUGGAUUGCGGUGGUGAAACGAAGGACUAAGGGGAACGAAACAUUGAUGCGAAGAACUGAAUUGUGUUGAUGGACUGCGGUGAUAAAACGUUAGGUUCUAAUGGAAGAGAAAUAAUCAGAAAAAGGAAAACUAGGGGGGGGGAAAGGUUCUCUGAGGCUGUUCAUGGUUGGAAACCACGCUGUCUGGGGGUAGGGCUCGGUUGCUUGCUUCAAAACGUAAUAUCGAAGUUUUAUUACUUCUGUUUGAUAUGGGAUUGUCUGCUGGGUCAGGUUGUAAGAAACUUUAGGGUUUAAGAUGGCGCUCAAAUAUGCCUGAGUGAACAGAGGUCAGAAGACACCCGCCCGCCUUGACGUUUUAGUCAUAACAUUAAAUGGAGAACCUCACAUAAUGAAACUAAAGCUGACAUUCUAAAUAAAUACCUCUCCCUGAUUUGGAAACCACUGCGCAGUUCAUCUCAUGUAUUGGUCUAGUCAUAUGAACACUCCAACAUAACAAUGAGAACGAUGAAGAAGAAAAGAAGAAAUAAAUAAAUACAUUGCAUCAGCAUUUUCAGCCCCAGGAGACAAAGAUAUAUUUAGCCCCAGGAGACAAAGAUAUAUUCAGCCCCAGGAGACACAGAUAUUUUCAGCCCCAGGAGACAGAUAUUUUCAGCCCCAGGAGACAAAGAUAUAUUCAGCCCCAGGAGACAAAGAUAUAUUCAGCCCCAGGAGACAAAGAUAUAUUCAGCCCCAGGAGACAAAGAUAUAUUGCUUACUUUAAACGAUGUGGAAAACAAAGCCAACAUUAAACCAAAUAAAGCAUCUGGAUCUGA